rnacentral:rRNA from 1 species
GACGAACGCUGGCGGCGUGCUUAACACAUGCAAGUCGAACGGAAAGGCCCCUUUGGGGGUACUCGAGUGGCGAACGGGGGCGUAACACGUGAGUAACCUUCCCCUGCCUUUGGGAUAACUUCAGGAAACUGGGGCUAAUACCGGAUAGGAAUCCUUUCUUCAUGGUGGGGGUUGGAAAGCUUCGGCGGUUUUGGAUGGACUCGCGGCUUAUCAGCUUGUUGGUGGGGUAGUGGCUUACCAAGGCGUUGUCGGGUAGCCGGCCUGAGAGGGCGACCGGCCACAUUGGGACUGAGAUACGGCCCAGACUCCUACGGGAGGCAGCAGUGGGGAAUAUUGCACAAUGGGCGGAAGCCUGAUGCAGCAACGCCGCGUGCGGGAGGACGGCCUUCGGGUUGUAAACCGCUUUCAGCAGGGGCGAAGCUUGUGGUGACGGUACCUGCAGAAGAAGCACCGGCUAACUACGUG